GGGGGGAGGUAUUAGGACAGAUUCACAUUCUGAGGACGUGUGCAACCAACAGUGAGAUGGAACUUAAUCAGAGAGGAUGCAACAUACAGUGCGGUUUUCUAUUAUGAGAUACAGGACAAAGAUAGCAAAAUGUAGGAACGUCUGACCAAGCCAGAAGUACCGUUGCCGGGGAUUGAACCCUGGUCUCUGCGGUGGUAGUGCUUAUACCUCUACACUACCAAACCAGACGGCCUGACUGCGAGCAUUUUUAACCGUGUGCCAUCACACUUACCGUAUCUAUGCAACACAUGUCUAUUCCUCAUUUCUUUAUUACUGAUUGUAAUGGUAGGAGAAACAGCAUAAGUGCAUUUUAACUUCAGUUUUUUUUUAAUGAUAUGUUUAGGGUUUGACUGACUUUCGUUUACAGACUGAGUUGAGCAACCCUCACCAGUGCGUAUGUAAGCCAAAGUGCAGAAGAGAAUCAGCAACAGCAAGUGACAAUCAAAGGCUUAUUACAAAAAGAGAAGCAUUGUAAAAUUAGCUUUGGCUAAUCAACCCAUAUUACAAUAUAUCAGAAUGUCUCUUGUACAGAAUCAAAUAUUUUACGUACUUGUCACUAUCAUGUAAUUACCAUGCUAUCUUUUCAACAGAUUGUUUUAAGAUGGUGGAGCAAGGGAUGUGUUGUUAGAGUGGAGUAGGAGCCAUUUUAUAUUAUGCCUGACAUGAUUAUCAGUGUUUUUAUUAUAUCAAAAUAAUGUGUGUAUUUUUGUUUGGCUUCUGGAACUUAUUUUCUAUGCUAAAUAUUUAUUUAGAAUAAGGUGCAUCAUCUUAGUCAUGCACUGUAAGGCACGAAAUCCAAUGACAAUGAGUACAGGAGCACAAAGUACAAUUAUGUCAAUACAUUAUUUUUAAUGAGGGAAAUUUGCAUUUUCAAAGGUCAAAGGACAGGAUGUGGCAGAGUGUAAAUUAAUUGGAAUUAUCAUAUAAUAACCAGAUGCAGAGGUGAAAUUGUAUUUGUUUUUAAUCAUAUAGUAAAAAAGAAUUCUCAAAAAGGUACACCCUCGAUCUGUACUUUUAACUUUAAUUGUUGAAGUACAAAUCCAAGCAAAAAUGUUGAUUCAUUGUGACAUUGACAGGGAUUUAAAGAACUUUAUUUUUGCUUUUUGUUAUCGCAAAUGCAACAUUGCUUUGCAUACCUUGUGAAAAUAAAUGAAUGGAGAGAUGAAUGUGAA